rnacentral:tRNA from 1 species
GCCGGCGCGGGCCGGCGGCCGGCGGCCGGCGGCGCCGCGCCAAGCCGCGGCGCGCGGAUCGUCAUUGCGCGCCGGCG